UUGCUUCAGCAACAAAUAUACUAAAAUUGGAAUGAUACAGAGAAGAUUAGCAUGGCCCCUGUGCAAUGAUGUCAUGCAAAUUCUUGAACCAUUCCACAUUUUU